CCGCAUAACGUUCCCGGCUACGGUUACGGUCAGCCACCACCACCUCAGCCGUACUCCACCCCAUACGGCGCUGCUCCACCACCUUCAUCAUCCCCUUACGGUGCCCCACCACCGCCCUCAUCAUCGGCCUACGGUGCCCCACCACCACAAAGUCACUCCUCCGCCCCAUACGGUGCCCCAGCCCCACCACAAAGUCACUCCCCUUACGCCCCCGUCCCCUCUCCAUACUCCACAGGUGCACCAUCUUACGGUAGUGAUCCGCAUAAACCCCCAAAAGAGAACAAACCACAGUC
rnacentral:lncRNA from 1 species